rnacentral:rRNA from 1 species
CGCGGCCUAUCAGCUUGUUGGUGGGGUGAUGGCCUACCAAGGCGAUGACGGGUAGCCGGCCUGAGAGGGCGACCGGCCACACUGGGACUGAGACACGGCCCAGACUCCUACGGGAGGCAGCAGUGGGGAAUAUUGCGCAAUGGGCGGAAGCCUGACGCAGCGACGCCGCGUGAGGGAUGACGGCCUUCGGGUUGUAAACCUCUUUCAGCAGGGACGAAGCGCAAGUGACGGUACCUGCAGAAGAAGCACCGGCCAACUACGUGCCAGCAGCCGCGGUAAUACGUAGGGUGCAAGCGCUGUCCGGAAUUAUUGGGCGUAAAGAGCUCGUAGGCGGCUUGUCACGUCGACUGUGAAAACCCGGGGCUCAACUCCGGGCCUGCAGUCGAUACGGGCUGGCUUGAGUGCGGUAGGGGAGACUGGAAUUCCUGGUGUAGCGGUGAAAUGCGCAGAUAUCAGGAGGAACACCGGUGGCGAAGGCGGGUCUCUGGGCCGUAACUGACGCUGAGGAGCGAAAGCGUGGGGAGCGAACAGGAUUAGAUACCCUGGUAGUCCACGCCGUAAACGUUGGGCGCUAGGUGUGGGGACCUAUCCACGGUCUCCGUGCCGCAGCUAACGCAUUAAGCGCCCCGCCUGGGGAGUACGG